AGAGUUUGAUCCUGGCUCAGGACGAACGCUGGCGGCGUGCUUAACACAUGCAAGUCGAGCGAUGAAGCUCCUUCGGGAGUGGAUUAGCGGCGGACGGGUGAGUAACACGUGGGUAACCUACCUCAAAGAGGGGGAUAGCCUCCCGAAAGGGAGAUUAAUACCGCAUAAUAAUCGGUUUUCACAUGGAGACUGAUUUAAAGGAGUAAUCCGCUUUGAGAUGGACCCGCGGCGCAUUAGCUAGUUGGUAGGGUAACGGCCUACCAAGGCGACGAUGCGUAGCCGACCUGAGAGGGUGAUCGGCCACAUUGGAACUGAGAGACGGUCCAGACCCCUACGGGAGGCAGCAGUGGGGAAUAUUGCACAAUGGGCGAAAGCCUGAUGCAGCAACGCCGCGUGAGUGAAGAAGGUUUUCGGAUUGUAAAGCUCUGUCUUUGGGGACGAUAAUGACGGUACCCAAGGAGGAAGCCACGGCUAACUACGUGCCAGCAGCCGCGGUAAUACGUAGGUGGCGAGCGUUGUCCGGAAUUACUGGGCGUAAAGAGUGCGUAGGCGGAUAUUUAAGUGAGAUGUGAAAUACCCGGGCUUAACCCGGGCACUGCAUUUCAAACUGGAUAUCUAGAGUGCGGGAGAGGAGAAUGGUAUUCCUAGUGUAGCGGUGAAAUGCGUAGAGAUUAGGAAGAACACCAGUGGCGAAGGCGAUUCUCUGGACCGUAACUGACGCUGAGGCACGAAAGCGUGGGUAGCAAACAGGAUUAGAUACCCUGGUAGUCCACGCCGUAAACGAUGAGUACUAGGGUGUAGGAGGUAUCGACCCCUUCUGUGCCGCAGUAAACACAAUAAGUACUCCGCCUGGGGAAGUACGAUCGCAAGAUUAAAAACUCAAAGGAAUUGACGGGGGCCCGCACAAGCAGCGGAGCAUGUGGUUUAAUUCGAAGCAACGCGAAGAACCUUACCUGGACUUGACAUACCCUGAAUAUCUUAGAGAUAAGAGAAGCCCUUCGGGGCAGGGAUACAGGUGGUGCAUGGUUGUCGUCAGCUCGUGCCGUGAGGUGUCGGCUUAAGUGCCAUAACGAGCGCAACCCUUAUCAUUAGUUACUAGCAGGUAAAGCUGAGGACUCUAGUGAGACUGCCGCCGUAAGGUGAGAGGAAGGGAGGGAUGACGUCAAAUCAGCACGGCCCUUAUGUCCGGGGCGACACACGUGUUACAAUGGGGGGUACAGAGGGGAGCUACCAUGCGAAUGGGAGCGAAUCCUUAAAAAGCCUCUCUCAGUUCGGAUUGGAGUCUGCAACUCGACUCCAUGAAGCUGGAUUCGCUAGUAAUCGCGCAUCAGCCAUGGCGCGGUGAAUACGUUCCCGGGCCUUGUACACACCGCCCGUCAAGCCAUGGGAGCCGGGGGUACCUGAAGUACGUGAUUCUGCGCAAGUGGGAAGCGUCCUAGGGUAAAACUGGUGACUGGGGCUAAGUCGUAACAAGGUAACC
rnacentral:rRNA from 1 species